rnacentral:lncRNA from 1 species
UAUGUAAUAGUCAAGUUUUUACCAUGCCAAGCUGAAUUUGAUGACACUGGCUGCAUUUUUAUCAUACCAGGCUGAAUUUGAUUCAUGCCAGCUCCCUACAGUCAAAUUUACCGAUGGGACUGUUUUGGGCUUACAAAAGUCUCUCUCCCACCGCUUUCACUCACUCUCACUCUUAUUUUUAGUAUCCUUCUCACUCUCAUUAAACUUGUUUAAUGUCUCUAAUUGGUAAUUAGUAGAAAUUGCUGGAACCUAAAGAGGAAAUCCCAAUUUC